rnacentral:rRNA from 1 species
UACAGAGGUCUCAAGCGUUGUUCGGAUUCAUUGGGCGUAAAGGGUGCGUAGGCGGCGCGGUAAGUCGGGUGUGAAAUCUCGGAGCUUAACUCCGAAACUGCAUUCGAUACUGCCGUGCUUGAGGACUGGAGAGGAGACUGGAAUUUACGGUGUAGCGGUGAAAUGCGUAGAUAUCAGGAGGAACACCGGUGGCGAAGGCGGGUCUCUGGGCCGUAACUGACGCUGAGGAGCGAAAAGCGUGGGGGAGCGAACAGG